rnacentral:rRNA from 1 species
UACGUAGGGUGCAAGCGUUGUCCGGAAUUAUUGGGCGUAAAGAGCUCGUAGGCGGUCUGUCGCGUCUGGUGUGAAAACUCAAGGCUUAACCUUGGGCCUGCAUCGGGUACGGGCAGACUAGAGUGCGGUAGGGGAGACUGGAAUUCCUGGUGUAGCGGUGAAAUGCGCAGAUAUCAGGAGGAACACCGGUGGCGAAGGCGGGUCUCUGGGCCGAUACUGACGCUGAGGAGCGAAAGCGUGGGGAGCGAACAGG